rnacentral:rRNA from 1 species
AACGUAGGUUCCGAGCGUUGUCCGGAAUCAUUGGGCGUAAAGCGCGCGUAGGUGGCCUCAUAAGUCCGCUGUGAAAGUCAAAGGCUCAACCUUUGAAAGCCGGUGGAUACUGUGAGGCUAGAGUACAGAAGAGGCGAGUGGAAUUCCUGGUGUAGCGGUGGAAUGCGCAGAUAUCAGGAGGAACACCAAUAGCGAAGGCAGCUCGCUGGGACGUUACUGACACUGAGGCGCGAAAGCGUGGGGAGCGAACAGG